rnacentral:rRNA from 1 species
AGCGAACGCUGGCGGCGUGCCUAACACAUGCAAGUCGAACGUGAAAGGGAGCAAUCCCAAGUAAAGUGGCGUACGGGUGAGUAACACGUAGGUAAUCUACCCCAGAAUCUGGAAUAACCGGCCGAAAGGCUGGCUAAUACUGGAUAGAGCGACGGAAUCCGUAACUGGGUUUUUCGGGAAAGGGAGCCUGUAAAAAGGCCUUCGUUCUGGGAUGAGCCUGCGUCCCAUCAGCUAGCUGCUGAGGGAAAAGCUUACCAAGGCUAUGAAGAGUAGCUGGACGGAGAUGACGAUCAGCCGCACUGAAAGGGAGACACGCACCAUACAGCUACGGGAGGAGGCAGUGAUGAAGCUUGCGCGAUGAACGAGAGUCUGACACAGCAGCGCCGCAUGAGUGACGAAGACCUUCGGGUUGUAAAGCUCUGUCGUGUGGGACGAAAAUGCUUGGAGUUCACAGAUCCAGGAACUGACGAUACCACGAAAGGAGGCACCGGCUAACUCCGUG